ACGAACGCUGGCGGCGCGCCUAACACAUGCAAGUCGAACGGAGCUUAGAGAGCUUGCUUUUUAAGCUUAGUGGCGAACGGGUGAGUAACGCGUGAGUAACCUGCCCUAGAGUGGGGGACAACAGUUGGAAACGACUGCUAAUACCGCAUAAGCCCACGGUACCGCAUGGUACUGAGGGAAAAGGAUUUAUUCGCUUUAGGAUGGACUCGCGUCCAAUUAGCUAGUUGGUGAGGUAACGGCCCACCAAGGCGACGAUUGGUAGCCGGACUGAGAGGUUGAACGGCCACAUUGGGACUGAGACACGGCCCAGACUCCUACGGGAGGCAGCAGUGGGGGAUAUUGCACAAUGGGGGAAACCCUGAUGCAGCGACGCCGCGUGGAGGAAGAAGGUUUUCGGAUUGUAAACUCCUGUCGUUAGGGACGAUAAUGACGGUACCUAACAAGAAAGCACCGGCUAACUACGUGCCAGCAGCCGCGGUAAAACGUAGGGUGCAAGCGUUGUCCGGAAUUACUGGGUGUAAAGGGAGCGCAGGCGGGAAGACAAGUUGGAAGUGAAAACCAUGGGCUCAACCCAUGAAUUGCUUUCAAAACUGUUUUUCUUGAGUAGUGCAGAGGUAGAUGGAAUUCCCGGUGUAGCGGUGGAAUGCGUAGAUAUCGGGAGGAACACCAGUGGCGAAGGCAGUCUACUGGGCACCAACUGACGCUGAGGCUCGAAAGCAUGGGUAGCAAACAGGAUUAGAUACCCUGGUAGUCCAUGCCGUAAACGAUGAUUACUAGGUGUUGGGGGAUUGACCCCCUCAGUGCCGCAGUUAACACAAUAAGUAAUCCACCUGGGGAGUACGACCGCAAGGUUGAAACUCAAAGGAAUUGACGGGGGCCCGCACAAGCAGUGGAGUAUGUGGUUUAAUUCGAAGCAACGCGAAGAACCUUACCAAGUCUUGACAUCCCUCUGACCGACUCUUAACCGAGUCUUUCCUUCGGGACAGGGGAGACAGGUGGUGCAUGGUUGUCGUCAGCUCGUGUCGUGAGAUGUUGGGUUAAGUCCCGCAACGAGCGCAACCCUUAUUGCCAGUUACUACGUUAAGAGGACUCUGGCGAGACUGCCGUUGACAAAACGGAGGAAGGUGGGGAUGACGUCAAAUCAUCAUGCCCUUUAUGACCUGGGCUACACACGUACUACAAUGGCGUUAAACAAAGAGAAGCAAGACCGCGAGGUGGAGCAAAACUCAAAAACAACGUCUCAGUUCAGAUUGCAGGCUGCAACUCGCCUGCAUGAAGUCGGAAUUGCUAGUAAUCGCGGAUCAGCAUGCCGCGGUGAAUACGUUCCCGGGCCUUGUACACACCGCCCGUCACACCAUGAGAGCCGGGGGGACCCGAAGUCGAUAGUCUAACCGCAAGGAGGACGUCGCCGAAGGUAAAACUGGUGAUUGGGGUG
rnacentral:rRNA from 1 species